rnacentral:rRNA from 1 species
ACUCCUACGGGAGGCAGCAGUGGGGAAUCUUGGACAAUGGGGGCAACCCUGAUCCAGCCAUGCCGCGUGAGUGAAGAAGGCCUUAAGGGUCGUAAAGCUCUUUCGCCUGUGAAGAUAAUGACGGUAGCAGGUAAAGAAACCCCGGCUAACUCCGUGCCAGCAGCCGCGGUAAUACGGAGGGGGUUUAGCGUUUGUUUCGGAAUUUACUGGGCGUAAAGCGCGCGUAGGCGGACCAGAAAGUUGGGGGUGAAAUCCCGGGGCUCACCCCGGAACUGCCUCCAAAAACUCCUGGUCUUGAGUUCGAGAGAGGUGAGUGGAAUUCCGAGUGUAGAGGUGAAAUUCGUAGAUAUUCGGAGGAACACCAGUGGCGAAGGCGGCUCACUGGCUCGAUACUGACGCUGAGAUGCGAAAGCGUGGGGAGCAAACAGGAUUAGAUACCCUGGUAGGACAGUG